GGUUAUAGUUAAAUUUUUGUGUUUUGGUCUGUUUUUCUCAUACCAUAUGCAAUAGGUCUACUAUAUUUGUUGUAUGGAAUGAUUGUUAAUGGUACAUGUCUAGCGGGCAGAUGUCAUGUGACCUUGACCUCAUUUUCAGGGUUCAGUGGUCAAAGUUAAGUUUUUGAGUUUUGGUCUUUUUAUCUAAUACUUUAUGCCAUAGGUCAACUAUAUUUGGUGUAUGGAAAUAUUUUAUGAUCUUUAUGUCAGUGGAGCAG
rnacentral:lncRNA from 1 species